rnacentral:rRNA from 1 species
CCUACGGGAUGCAGCAGUGGGGAAUAUUGCGCAAUGGGCGAAAGCCUGACGCAGCGACGCCGCGUGAGGGAUGAAGGUCUUCGGAUCGUAAACCUCUGUCAGCAGGGAAGAACGGUCACUGUGCUAAUCAGCAGUGAAUUGACGGUACCUGCAAAGGAAGCACCGGCUAACUCCGUGCCAGCAGCCGCGGUAAUACGGAGGGUGCGAGCGUUAAUCGGAAUUACUGGGCGUAAAGCGCUCGUAGGCGGUAUGUCAAGUCAAGGGUGAAAGCCCCGCGCUCAACGUGGGAACUGCCUUUGAAACUGGCAAACUGGAGUGUGUGAGAGGAUAGUGGAAUUCCAGGUGUAGGAGUGAAAUCCGUAGAUAUCUGGAGGAACAUCAGUGGCGAAGGCGACUAUCUGGCACAUAACUGACGCUGAGGAGCGAAAGCGUGGGUAGCAAACAGGAUUAGAUACCCGGGUAGUC